AGACAAAUAGCUCAACGAUAGAGCGUUGCUCUUACAAAGCAAAGGUUGUUGGUUUGAAUCCAAUUUUGUCUA
rnacentral:tRNA from 1 species